GCCGGGAGCUAGCUCUCUGCAACUCUCACAUGGUCACCCGCUGAAGCAAAGCAGGGCUGUGCCGGGUCAGUUCCUAGAUGGGAGACUACAUGGAAAAGCUAGGUUGCUGCCGGAA
rnacentral:rRNA from 1 species